rnacentral:rRNA from 1 species
UACAGAGGUCCCGAGCGUUGUUCGGAUUCAUUGGGCGUAAAGGGUGCGUAGGCGGGGGGGGCAAGUCUGAUGUGAAAUCCCGGGGCUCAACCCCGGAACUGCAUUGGAUACUGCCUUGCUUGAGUACUGGAGAGGAGACUGGAAUUUACGGUGUAGCAGUGAAAUGCGUAGAGAUCGUAAGGAAGGCCAGUGGCGAAGGCGAGUCUCUGGACAGUAACUGACGCUGAGGCACGAAGGCCAGGGGAGCAAACGGG